AUUUAAGCAUCCAAAAUUGUCAAGAAAAUCCAACAACAAAUGUCACAAGAAGUGGUGUACCAAGUGAGAUGGGUUCUGCUUUGGUUCAUGGAUUUACUGCCUAUUUUGAAGCUAUAAUACUCUAUGAUAAACUGAGUAUUAGCACUGUGCCUAGAAAAGCAACAUAAAACAUGUUCGGCUGGUUGCCAAUGUAUUUUCCAUUGAGGAAGCCUGUUGAAAUUUACUCUCUAACGAUCGAGUAGAAGCAAUGAUCUGGAGAUGUAGCGAUUCCAAAAAGGUAAAUAAAGAGAGAGCAAAAAUGUGAGUCAACUGAACAAAGCAUUCAUACAUUUUGGUGGUGGCGGUGGACAGGUUUGGUAAAAAUUUGUAUCAACUGGAUGAGCCUUUAGGAUACUGUCUUAGAGCACAAUGGACGGAAAUUUGUUAGUAGAAUCAAAAACAAAAGGGUUAUAAAGAGAAGUGGUUGUACAUAGAAUAAUAAUACAAACCCUUGAACAAAAAAAAAAACAUAGAAUAAUAAUACAAUGUAAGCGAAAAUGGUAUGGUAUGAUUGAUUGUUGAGAACGAGUUGUGUUGUGUUGUUUAGAAGAGAAAACGCGUGGCAGUAAUGAUGAAUAAACGUAGGAAGGAAGUGGACGGAUACAACUUAACACGUAUUGAUCAUAGAAAGUGGUGGUUGUAAUCACA